rnacentral:rRNA from 1 species
AGAGUUUGAUCCUGGCUCAGGAUGAACGCUGGCGGCGUGCCUAAUACAUGCAAGUCGAGCGAACCACUUCGGUGGUGAGCGGCGAACGGGUGAGUAACACGUAGGUGAUCUGCCCAUCAGACGGGGACAACGAUUGGAAACGAUCGCUAAUACCGGAUAGGACGAAAGUUUAAAGGUGCUCCUGGCACCGCUGAUGGAUGAGCCUGCGGCGCAUUAGCUAGUUGGUAGGGUAAAGGCCUACCAAGGCGACGAUGCGUAGCCGACCUGAGAGGGUGAACGGCCACACUGGGACUGAGACACGGCCCAGACUCCUACGGGAGGCAGCAGUAGGGAAUCUUCGGCAAUGGGCGAAAGCCUGACCGAGCAACGCCGCGUGAAUGAUGAAGGCCUUCGGGUUGUAAAAUUCUGUUAUAAGGGAAGAACGACUUUAGUAGGAAAUGGCUAAAGUGUGACGGUACCUUAUGAGAAAGCCACGGCUAACUACGUGCCAGCAGCCGCGGUAAUACGUAGGUGGCAAGCGUUAUCCGGAAUUAUUGGGCGUAAAGCGCGCGUAGGCGGUUUUUUAAGUCUGAUGUGAAAGCCCACGGCUCAACCGUGGAGGGUCAUUGGAAACUGGAAAACUUGAGUGCAGAAGAGGAAAGUGGAAUUCCAUGUGUAGCGGUGAAAUGCGCAGAGAUAUGGAGGAACACCAGUGGCGAAGGCGACUUUCUGGUCUGUAACUGACGCUGAUGUGCGAAAGCGUGGGGAUCAAACAGGAUUAGAUACCCUGGUAGUCC